CCUACGGGAGGCAGCAGUGGGGAAUAUUGCGCAAUGGGCGAAAGCCUGACGCAGCGACGCCGCGUGAGGGAUGAAGGUCUUCGGAUCGUAAACCUCUGUCAGCAGGGAAGAACGGUCACUGUGCUAAUCAGCAGUGAAUUGACGGUACCUGCAAAGGAAGCACCGGCUAACUCCGUGCCAGCAGCCGCGGUAAUACGGAGGGUGCGAGCGUUAAUCGGAAUUACUGGGCGUAAAGCGCUCGUAGGCGGUCUGUCAAGUCAAGGGUGAAAUCCCCGGGCUCAACGUGGGAACUGCCUUUGAAACUGGCAGACUGGAGUGUGUGAGAGGAUAGUGGAAUUCCAGGUGUAGGAGUGAAAUCCGUAGAUAUCUGGAGGAACAUCAGUGGCGAAGGCGACUAUCUGGCAAAUAACUGACGCUGAGGAGCGAAAGCGUGGGUAGCAAACAGGAUUAGAUACCCCUGUAGUC
rnacentral:rRNA from 1 species